rnacentral:rRNA from 1 species
UUCGCCCUACGGGAGGCAGCAGUGGGGAAUAUUGGGCAAUGGAGGCAACUCUUACCCAGCAAUGCCUCGUGAAUGAAGAAGGUCUUCGGAUUGUAAAGUUCUUUAAUUGGGGACGAAAAAAAUGACGGUACCCAAGGAAUAAGCCCCGGCUAACUACGUGCCAGCAGCCGCGGUAAUACGUAGGGGGCAAGCGUUGUUCGGAAUGCCUGGGCGUAAAGGGCGUGUAGGCGGUGUAGCAAGUUAGAAGUGAUAUACCUAGAGCUUAACUCAGGUGCUGCUUCUAAAACUGCUAUACU